UGGGGAAUCUUGGACAAUGGGCGCAAGCCUGAUCCAGCCAUGCCGCGUGGAUGAAGAAGGCCCUAGGGUUGUAAAGUCCUUUCGACGGAGACGAUAAUGACGGUAUUCGUAGAAGAAGCCCCGGCUAAUUUCGUGCCAGCAGCCGCGGUAAUACGAAGGGUGCGAGCGUUGUUCGGAAUCACUGGGCGUAAAGCGCGUGUAGGCGGUCUGCUAAGUCUGAUGUGAAAGCCCGGGGCUCACCCCCGGAAGUGCAUUGGAAACUGACAGACUGGAGUCCCGGAGAGGAGGGUGGAAUUCCUGGUGUAGCGGUGAAAUGCGUAGAUAUCAGGAGGAACACCGGUGGCGAAGGCGGCCCUCUGGACGGUGACUGACGCUGAGACGCGAAAGCGUGGGGAGCAAACAGGAUUAGAUACCCGUGUAGUCCCUGAGCGGGCUGGCAAGGCGCAU
rnacentral:rRNA from 1 species